rnacentral:rRNA from 1 species
UAGAGUUUGAUCGUGGCUCAGGAUGAACGUUGGCGGUGUGCCUAAUACAUGCAAGUCGAACGGAGAGCGUAGCAAUACUCUCUUAGUGGCGAACGGGUGAGUAACGCGUGGGUGACCUGCCCCGAAGUGUGGAAUAACAAUUCGAAAGAAUUGCUAAUACCGCAUAGUAUCUUUUAGAUUAGAACCUUUUAGAUUAAAGGAUUUAUUCGCUUCGGGAGGGGCCUGCGUCCCAUCAGCUAGUUGGUAAGGUAAUGGCUUACCAAGGCUAUGACGGGUAGGGGACCUGAGAGGGUGGCCCCCCACAAUGGAACUGAAACACGGUCCAUACACCUACGGGUGGCAGCAGUAGGGAAUAUUAGUAAUGGGCGAAAGCCUGAACUAGCAACACCGCGUGUGCGAAGAAGGCCUUCGGGUUGUAAAGCACUUUUUGAGAGGAUGAGGAAGGACGGUACUCUCAGAAUAAGUCUCGGCUAACUACGUGCCAGCAGCCGCGGUAACACGUAGGAGGCAAACGUUAUCCGGAUUUACUGGGCAUAAAGCGCGUGUAGGUGGUUUGGUAAGUAGGGCGUGAAAGCUCCUGGCUCAACUGGGAGAGGACGUUCUAAACUACCGGACUAGAGGUUGGUAGAGGGAGGUGGAAUUCCGGGUGUAGCGGUGGAAUGCGCAGAUAUCCGGAGGAACACCAGUGGCGAAAGCG